rnacentral:snRNA from 1 species
ACUUUAGCACUAUGUACACUCGAAAACUGAAAUUAUACAAAGAUCUGCAUGGCCGAUAUGCAAAGAUGAUAUGAAAAUUCAUGAAGCAUUCCAUAUUUUG